GAUGAACGCUAGCGGCAGGCUUAAUACAUGCAAGUCGAGGGACAGCACAGGUAGCAAUACUGGGUGGUAACCGGCAAACGGGUGCGGAACACGUACACAACCUUCCUUUAAGUGGGGGAUAGCCCAGAGAAAUUUGGAUUAAUACCCCGUAAUAUAGUUGAAUGGCAUCAUUUUAUUAUUAUAGCUACGGCGCUUAUUGAUGGGUGUGCGGCUGAUUAGAUAGUUGGCGGGAUAACGGCCCACCAAGUCUACGAUCAGUAGCUGAUGUGAGAGCAUGAUCAGCCACACGGGCACUGAGACACGGGCCCGACUCCUACGGGAGGCAGCAGUAAGGAAUAUUGGACAAUGGACGCAAGUCUGAACCAGCCAUGCCGCGUGAAGGAUUAAGGUCCUCUGGAUUGUAAACUUCUUUUAUUUGGGACGAAAAAGGGCCUUUCUAGGUCAACUGACGGUACCAGAUGAAUAAGCACCGGCUAACUCCGUGCCAGCCGCCGCCGUAAUAC
rnacentral:rRNA from 1 species